GCCCCGCGCUGCCGGUUCACCGCUCGUCGGUGUCCAACUGGCAUGCGUGCGGGGCGUCCUGCCGGUGGGCGCGAGCCGACCGCGGCGGCAGGCGCUCUCGGGCCGGGCUCCGGCGGUGAGCAAUCGCAGCCGGGCCUGGUUCUCGGGGGCGUUGCGGCCCCGUGGAAGGCGGACCCCGAUCUCACCCGCCGCGGUGCUCUUAACUGAGUGUCGUGCGGGCCGGCACGUUUACUUUGAACAAAUUAACGUGCUUAACGCAGGCCUUUGUCUGCCCGAAUACUCUUGCAUGGAAUAAUGGAAUAGGACCUCGGUUCUAUUUUGUUGGUUUUCGGAAGUCGAGGUAAUGAUUAAUGGGGAUUGCCGGGGGCAUCCGUAUUGCGACGUUAGAGGUGAAAUUCUUGGAUCGUCGCAAGACGAACCGGAGCGAAAGCGUUUGCCAAGUAUGUUUUCUUUAAUCAAGAACGAAAGUUAGAGGUUCGAAGGCGAUCAGAUACCGCCCUAGUUCUAACCAUAAACUAUGCCAACUAGCGAUCCGCUGUGUGUCUUAGAUGUCACGGCGGGCAGCCUCCGGGAAACCAAAGUCUUUGGGUUCCGGGGGAAGUAUGGUUGCAAAGCUGAAACUUAAAGGAAUUGACGGAAGGGCACCACCAGACGUGGAGCCUGCGGCUUAAUUUGACCCAACGCGGGGAACCUCAUCAGGCCAGGACACCGGAAGGAUUGACAGAUUGAGAGCUCUUUCUUGAUUCGGUGGGUGGUGGUGCAUGGCCGUUCUUAGUUCGUGGAGUGAUUUGUCUGCUUAAUUGCGAUAACGAACGAGAUCCUACCCUACUAACUAGUCGAAACCGGCAUCCCCUGUGCAGCCGGCGACCAACACGCGAGUUUUAGUUUAAAGUCGUCAAAAUGGUGACUCAAAAGAAACAGAAAAAGGCGAUGGAGAGCAUCAACUCCCGGCUUGCUCUUGUUAUGAAGUCCGGGAAGUAUGUUCUCGGACUCAAGCAGACUCUAAAAACAUUGAGGCAGGGCAAGGCGAAACUAGUGAUCAUCGCCAACAAUACCCCUC
rnacentral:rRNA from 1 species